UGUACCUUCUCCAAGUUUUCAUUCAAUCUUUCAUUAAUUUCAUGUACGUUUGCUCCACAUGAUGAUAUAUUUGUAUCAUCUGCAAACAUACUUACACUAGUACUAGAAGAAAGGCAAUUAGGUAGAUCAUUAAUAUAUAUCAAAAAGAGUAGUGGGCCUAGGUUUGAACCCUGAGGAACACCACACUUUAUGAUUCUUUUACUAGAUGUACUUGUUUGUUUUAUUUUGCACAUUUGUGUCCUGUCAGUUAAAUAUGAUCUGAACCACUUAAGUGCUUGUUCUUGUAUGCCGUACACAUGCAUUUUUUUGAGAAGAAUAUCAUGAUCUACACAAUCAAAGGCCUUUUUUAAAUCAAGGAAUAGAACACCAUUCAGACAUCCUUUGUCCAUGUUUAUAUACCACUCGUUUGUUAUGUUAAGAAGGGAUGUUUGGGUAGAAUGUUGUUUUCUAAACC